rnacentral:rRNA from 1 species
GACGAACGCUGGCGGCGUGCUUAACACAUGCAAGUCGAACGGUAAGGCCCUUCGGGGGACACGAGUGGCGAACGGGUGAGUAACACGUGGGUGAUCUGCCCUGCACUUCGGGAUAAGCCUGGGAAACUGGGUCUAAUACCGGAUAGGACCACUGCCUGCAUGGGUGGUGGUGGAAAGCUUUUGCGGUGUGGGAUGGGCCCGCGGCCUAUCAGCUUGUUGGUGGGGUGAUGGCCUACCAAGGCGACGACGGGUAGCCGGCCUGAGAGGGUGACCGGCCACACUGGGACUGAGAUACGGCCCAGACUCCUACGGGAGGCAGCAGUGGGGAAUAUUGCACAAUGGGCGCAAGCCUGAUGCAGCGACGCCGCGUGAGGGAUGACGGCCUUCGGGUUGUAAACCUCUUUCAGCACCGACGAAGCGCAAGUGACGGUAGGUGCAGAAGAAGGACCGGCCAACUACGAACCAGCCGCCGCAGUAA